UACGUAGGGUGCGAGCGUUGUCCGGAAUUAUUGGGCGUAAAGAGCUCGUAGGCGGUGUGUCGCGUCGGCCGUGAAAACCUGGGGCUUAACUCUGGGCGUGCGGUCGAUACGGGCAUCACUGGAGUUCGGCAGGGGAGACUGGAAUUCCUGGUGUAGCGGUGAAAUGCGCAGAUAUCUGGAGGAACACCGGUGGCGAAGGCGGCAUCCUGGACCGAAAUUGACGCUGAGGCGCGAAAGCCAGGGGAGCAAACGGG
rnacentral:rRNA from 1 species